rnacentral:tRNA from 1 species
GGGGGAUUAGCUCAGUUGGUAGAGCGCGUGCUUUGCAAGCAUGAGGUCAGCGGUUCGAGCCCGCUAUCCUCCACCA